CAUAUGCUUUUAAUACACAUCUGGACAAAGCCUUAGAAAGCAAUUCUAAAAGUUCAUUGUGAAUCAUGUAAUCCCUGAUUUUAAGAAGUUUCAAGAAAGGAAGAAAAUUGAGAUCUAUUAUUUUUCUCUGUUCAUUUCAAGGAACAAUGCAGAACAGUCUUCAAAGUACAGAUGAAGAUUUUCUGUGCUCCCACUUCUUGCCUUUGCAAAUUAGAUUCCACAUAUUCUCGUAGAACUUUGUAAAUCUUCUUGGGGAUCCCAGAUGGAAAACACUGAUUUUAAAAGAAAAUAAAAAUCAACAAAGAAAAAUGGAUAAGUCGGAAGAAAAUACACAGAACGUCGGACAUUUCAGAGGAUACAAAUCAUCAACUGGGUGAAGUUUAACAAGGAAGAGUGACAGAUUCUACAUUCGGAAGAUUCUGGACAUCUGCACAGACUGGGGAACCACAGGCUGGAGAGCAGCCCCCUGGAAAGUGAUCUCAGAGUCCUCAUU